AUACGGAGGGGGCUAGCGUUGUUCGGAUUUACUGGGCGUAAAGCGCACGUAGGCGGAUUGUUAAGUCGGGGGUGAAAGCCCGGGGCUCAACCCCGGAACUGCCUCCGAUACUGGCAAUCUUGAGGUCGGGAGAGGUGAGUGGAAUUCCUAGUGUAGAGGUGAAAUUCGUAGAUAUUAGGAGGAACACCAGUAGCGAAGGCGGCUCACUGGCCCGAUUCUGACGCUGAGGUGCGAAAGCGUGGGGAGCAAACAGGAUUAGAAACCCCGGUAGUCC
rnacentral:rRNA from 1 species